rnacentral:rRNA from 1 species
UGGGGGAUAUUGCACAAUGGGCGAAAGCCUGAUGCAGCGACGCCGCGUGGGGGAUGAAGGCUUGCGGGUUGUAAACCUCUUUCGCUAUCGAACAAGGCCCGCUUAGGGUGGGGUGAGGGUAGGUGGAGAAGAAGCGCCGGCUAACUACGUGCCAGCAGCCGCGGUAAUACGUAGGGCGCGAGCGUUGUCCGGAAUUAUUGGGCGUAAAGGGCUUGUAGGCGGCUUGUUGCGCCUGCUGUGAAAACGCGGGGCUUAACUUCGCGCGUGCAGUGGGUAGGGGCAGGCUUGAGUGUGGUAGUGGUGACUGGAAUUCCAGGUGUAGAGGUGGAAUGCGCAGAUAUCUGGAGGAACACCGAUGGCGAAGGCAGGUCACUGGGCCAUUACUGACGCUGAGGAGCGAAAGCAUGGGUAGCGAACAGG